rnacentral:rRNA from 1 species
GAUCAUGGCUCAGGACGAACGCUGGCGGCGCGCCUAACACAUGCAAGUCGAACGGGGUUAUACGGGAUGAAGUUUUCGGAUGGAAUUCUAUAUAACCUAGUGGCGGACGGGUGAGUAACACGUGAGCAACCUGCCUAUCAGAGGGGGAUAACGAUUGGAAACGAUCGCUAAUACCGCAUGACAUAGCGGAACCGCAUGGUUUUGCUAUCAAAGAUUUAUCGCUGAUAGAUGGGCUCGCGUCCG